rnacentral:rRNA from 1 species
AGUGAACGCUGGCGGUAGGCCUAACACAUGCAAGUCGAACGGCAGCACAGUAAGAGCUUGCUCUUACGGGUGGCGAGUGGCGGACGGGUGAGGAAUACAUCGGAAUCUACUUUUUCGUGGGGGAUAACGUAGGGAAACUUACGCUAAUACCGCAUACGACCUACGGGUGAAAGCAGGGGAUCUUCGGACCUUGCGCGAUUGAAUGAGCCGAUGUCGGAUUAGCUAGUUGGCGGGGUAAAGGCCCACCAAGGCGACGAUCCGUAGCUGGUCUGAGAGGAUGAUAGGCGGCACUGGAGCUGGAACACGGUCCAGGCUCCUACGGGAGGCAGCAGUGGGGAAUAUUGGACAAUGGGCGCAAGCCUGAUCCAGCCAUACCGCGUGGGUGAAGGAGGCCUUCGGGUUGUAAAGACCUUUUGUUGGGAAAGAAAAGCAGCAGGUUGAUACCCCGCUGUUCUGACGGUACCCAAAGAAUAAGCACCGGCUAACUUCGUG